rnacentral:rRNA from 1 species
GGAUAAUAUUUUGAACCGCAUGGUUCAAAAGUGAAAGACGGUCUUGCUGUCACUUAUAGAUGGAUCCGCGCUGCAUUAGCUAGUUGGUAAGGUAACGGCUUACCAAGGCAACGAUGCAUAGCCGACCUGAGAGGGUGAUCGGCCACACUGGAACUGAGACACGGUCCAGACUCCUACGGGAGGCAGCAGUAGGGAAUCUUCCGCAAUGGGCGAAAGCCUGACGGAGCAACGCCGCGUGAGUGAUGAAGGUCUUCGGAUCGUAAAACUCUGUUAUUAGGGAAGAACAUAUGUGUAAGUAACUGUGCACAUCUUGACGGUACCUAAUCAGAAAGCCACGGCUAACUACGUGCCAGCAGCCGCGGUAAUACGUAGGUGGCAAGCGUUAUCCGGAAUUAUUGGGCGUAAAGCGCGCGUAGGCGGUUUUUUAAGUCUGAUGUGAAAGCCCACGGCUCAACCGUGGAGGGUCAU